UUCCCUUAUAAGCAAACAAGAAUUUUCACGCUUUCCGAAAGUCUCGAAACAUCCCGCGUACGAAAAAACCAUUGGGUAAUUGUUUUAUAAAAUAACCGCUCUUUAAUAUUAUUGUUUAUUUUACGCAUUGUUUUUUUGUUGUCCGACAAUUUGAAAACCUCGGAAGACAUUUACAUCAGUUUUCCAUGCAGGAUUGCCUCAUCCUGCACUUCCGUGCGAGAUUGUCA
rnacentral:lncRNA from 1 species